GGGGAAACUUGCUAGCCAACCUGAACUUGCAAUUCAGCAUUUCAGCCACCCACACCAAUUGGAGCUUUCCAAUUACCAACCACAACAGACUCUGUGUCUCUCCUCAUGUUCUGCUUGCAAGCUCAAAGCCUCUGGAUGGAUGUACACAUGCAACAAUUGCAACUACUUUCUUCAUAUCUCAUGCUCCCAAUUGCCCCAACAGAUCAGUCACCCAUUUGACCAAAACCAUGUUCUGUCUUUGCUCUCUACCCCCAUCUAUCCAGAAGGCUUAUUCCGCUGUGAUGCUUGUGGCAAGCAAGGCAAUGGCUUCUCUUACCAUUGUGGGAUAUGCAAUAUUGAUCUCCAUGCUACAUGUGCAGCCAUGCCACUAAUUGUCGCCCACCAAUGUCACCAUCACCAGCUCAAUCUCACUUUCUUUGUUCCUUAUCUUAACAAAUGUUUCUCUUGUGAUAUAUGCCA
rnacentral:misc_RNA from 1 species